AUGCUGGGGACCCUCUGCACUCCCAUCACUGCUCUAACAUGUGUGAGUGGUGUGAUGGUGGUGACACAGAAGCCUCCUGUUUUGACAGUGAUGAAAGGAGAAACAGCCACCUUGGACUGUAACCUGGGGACUGUUACUAAUUAUGCUGCUCAUUGGUUUAAACAUAUUCCUGGUGGAGUUCCUCAGUUUGUAUUAUAUUUCCAUCACAGUGAUAGCACUCCAACAUGUUCACAUGUUCACAAAUUCACAUCCAAUCAUCAGUCAGCAUCAGAUUAUCGACUGAUCAUCAGCAAUGUGGAGGAGGGAGACUCAGCAGUCUAUUACUCUAAAACAUGGGAUGGUUCUGUGGAUGAGGUUGUAUUUGGAAAAGACACCAAGCUGAUUGUGACAGUGUGA